rnacentral:rRNA from 1 species
CCUACGGGAGGCAGCAGUGAGGAAUAUUGGUCAAUGGGCGCGAGACUGAACCAGCCAAGUAGCGUGAAGGAUGACUGCCCUACGUGUUGUAAACUUCUUUUAUAAAGGAAUAAGGUCAGGCACGCGUGCCUUGUUGUAUGUACUUGAUGAAUAAGGAUCGGCUAACUCCGUGCCAGCAGCCGCGGUAAUACGGAGGAUCCGAGCGUUAUCCGGAUUUAUUGGGUUUAAAGGGUGCGUAGGUGGUUUGUUAAGUCAGUGGUGAAAGUUUGCGGCUCAACCGUAAAAUUGCGAUUGAUACUGGCAGUCUGGAGUACAGUGGAGGAAGGCGGAAGUCGUGGUGUAGCGGUGAAAUGCUUGGAUAUGACGAAGAACUCCGAUUGCGAGGGCAGAUUACUAAACUGCAACGGAGAUGGGUGCCCGAAAGUGUGGGUAUCAAACAGGAUUAGAUACCGUAGUGUC